GAGGAAAGUCCGGGCUCUAUUUAUAAAGGUAUAGCUCUAUAAAAUACAGUAUAGGUAACUAUAAGGAUCGUGCCACAGAAAUAUACCGCCUAAAUUAAUUAUGGGUAAGGGUGCAAUGGUGCGGUAAAAGCGUACCAGAGAUAUUGUUAAAGUAUUUGCUAGGUAAACCCCAUAUUUGAGUAAAGAGAUUAGUAUAUAGAUGUUUAGUAAGAUUUUUAUAAAUCUUGCAAAUUACUAUUUUUUAUAUAUUACUAUUCAUUGAUACUGCAGUAAGUGAUUGAUUUUACUUAAGAUUAAUAAUUACCCUUUUCGUUUUAACAUAAUAGUAUUUAAUUUCUGAAAAGAACUAAACCCGGCUUAU
rnacentral:RNase_P_RNA from 1 species